GGGAGGUGACAGGGCACUGUGGGCCAGAGAGGCCCGCUGAACGCGAAAAAUGCCGUUUUUUUGAGUGUUCAUUUUUUCAUUGAUGAUGAGAAAUUCGUUAAAAAGCUUCCCUAUGGGAUGUAGAUUCAUCAAAAAAUCAUUGGAUAUGCGCCCGACAGCGAUGUAUUUGAGGGGGGAACUUGGGCACCUCUCACACUGCACGGAUAACAUGCGGAAGCGCGCCCUGAACUUUGACCGUUCAAGGUCUUGUCACUGCUCAACGAUUUCCCGAGAUGAAUUGUGUUCACCAUGGCUGCUUCUUCUAAAGAAUUUUCCGUUUCAUACAAGGAAUUGUUUGAAUCCGUGAGUGGCGAAAUCAAUAAACCCGAUUUGGAAGGACGAUUAUUUGACUAUGUUUCAAAAAUUGUAGAGCCGCUGGAAAUUUCCGAGGAUGAGGAGAAGUUGCUUAAGCAAAAAUUGAGCAGUUAUACUAUAAACCUUAAGGACAGAUGGAAGAUCGUUGGCCGAUCGAAGAAGGUAUUAAUUCAAAAAUAUGGAAACAGCUGGUUUGAGGGUAAACUGACAUUCUCUAUCCGUUUUUCUGAUAACAACAAGCUCGAUACCGAAAGUCAACCUGAGGCAACAGUAGGACGUCCUCUAAGUGAUUUUGAAAAAUUAUCCCCUUCUGGAAAGAGAAAACGGACUCAAUCAAUACGGGAUGAAUAUUCUGCGGAAGAAUUAUUGUUUUCUACCAUUUUGGCACUUAAAGCUUCGGGAAAAUUUACUCUCGCCACAAUUUUUGAGAAAGUCAAUGAUAUGCCCGAUUCUUCACAAAAAUCUCUUUUAAAAGAUAUCAAGGAGAGAGAAUCCAGCAAUCCCGAUGCGGAUGCUUUUGAUUCUUUAUCCAUCCUUACCAACGCCUCUCUGACUAAACACCAGUACAAUUUGAUAAGACUUUAUGCUUUAGAGAAAAAUUCAAAAAUUUUUGUUCCCUAUAAUAAUGUUAGAGAAAUGAAACAAGUUUGUUAUCCUGAUCCGUCAUCGAUUACUGUGAGUGAAACAUGUGCCGAGGUAAAACUUCAAGCAUUAUUGGACCACACAGCUCAGCGCAUAAUCCAGUUAAUGUUCCCCACUGCUGAGUCCUUUGUAAAUUUUUCCACACGGUCUUUAUGCCUCAAAACUAAAUGGGGAUUUGAUGGUGCAACAGGUCAAAGCCGUUAUAAAAUUAAAUUUAGCGAAGACGAUGCAGAUGAUAGCAGUAUGUUUGGAACAUCUCUCGUUCCGUUACAAUUAACUGAUAUUGAAACUUCUGAGGUUGUUUGGCAAAAUUUAAAACCCGGGUCUGCCCGAUUUUGCCGGCCUAUUCGAAUUAGGUUCACCAAAGAAACUGAGGAAACUAUUAAAAAUGAAAAAGCAUCCGUCGAAGCAGAGAUUUCGAACUUAAUGCCAUCGAAAGUAACUUUACCAUAUUUCAAUGAGACUUUAGAGAUCAAACACGUUUUGACGUUAACCAUGAUCGAUGGAAAGGCGUAUAAUGCAAUUACAGAGACAUCCUCUCAAACAUGUGCCAUUUGUGGCAUUACGCCUUCAAAUGCAAAUAACAUCGAUAAAAUUUUGGAGAGAGAUAUUGACGAGGCAGCAUUAGAGUUUGGUUUGAGUCCCCUCCAUUGUUACAUACGUUUUUUUGAAUGUGUCAUUCAUAUUGCGUACAAGCUAGAUACAAAGAAAUGGCAGAGCCGUAGUUCCGAGCAAAAACAGCUCAAAGCAAUAAGAAAAAAAGAAAUUCAAGAUGGGUUGAGGAAAGAGAUGGGUCUUUUGGUGGACAUGCCCAAACAAGGAGGCUCAGGUAACACUAAUGACGGCAAUACUAGCAGAAAAUUUUUUUCAAAUCCUGAUUUGGCUGCCAAAAUCACUGGGAUUGAUGUGAAUUUAAUCAAACGAUUAGGCAUAAUCCUCAGGGUAAUAAAUAGUGAUUUUGAGGUAAAUUCUGAGAAGUUCAACGCCUAUGCUUUAGAAACAGCCAAAAUUUACUUCAGGAAAUAUUCCUGGUAUCCAAUGCCCCCCUCCGUUCAUAGAGUCCUAUUACAUGGAUACAGAGUCAUUCAGGUAGCUAUACUUCCAGUUGGGAUGCUCUCUGAAGAGCCACACGAGUCCCAAAACAGAUUUAAGAGAAAUAUUCGAGAACAUCAUGCUCGAAAAUGUAAUCGGAUAGAAAACCUUAGGGAUGUCUUCAUGCGUCUCCUAUUAAUGUCUGACCCGGUUAUUUCGAGCAGGAUGAAAGCGAGAAAUCCUAAAAAGAAAGAAGUCCCAGAUGAAAUGCUUUCCUUGAUCAAUCUAUUGCCAUAAUUGUAACCACCUCAUAACUUUUCUGUAUCAUUAUGUGAGCGCAUUUUUUUAUUUUAGGGGACAGUUCUGCCUUUCUAUUUUUUAUUUUAUCUGUGAUUCAAGUUCCUUAUUUUUUACCUUACAUAUGUGUCGUAAGAUGAGUAUAUUUUUUAAGUAACAUGUUCAUGCCAAGUUUUUAUUGGAGAUUGUUUUUUAUUUUUUUUGGUUGUGCUAUUUUUUGAUUAGUACUGAUACAGAAAUCUUUUUUUUAAAAUCAUAUUUCUUUAAUGUUUUUUCCUACUUUUCUGUGAUAUUUACUUUUAUUAUCUCUUCUAUUACCAUACUUAAACCAAUUUGAUUUUUCACCCUUAUUGUGAAUUAGUUUUUCUAUUGAAUUGUUAUGUUUAGUUCUAUUAUUACUGAAACCAGGUUGAUUUUUCACCCUUAUUGUGAAUUAAUUUUUCUAUCGACUUAUUGUUAUGUUUAGUUAUGUUCUUGUUUCUAUUUAGUCAUGUACCUUGUUCUAAUUUCAUUGUGUUCUUAUUGGAAGCAUAUAAAUUUAAUUUUCAUACUGUAAAAACUUAUUUCAUUCGUGUAUAUUUGCUCUUAAAAUUCAGUAAUUUGAGAAACUAGUAACAAAAGAAGUUGACAUAGUUCCUCUGUUUUAACACUUUUCUCUUUUUGGAGACUUAUUUUCAAAAUUAACGGUCGUUAUCAAGACACUAAUUGCUCCUUUUUUAGAUGACCGUUUCGUUUUUGAACAUUUCUCAGACUUUCAAGUGGCGUCAAAUCAUACAAAGAUUGCUCAUAAAAGAGUUUUCACUGGAUUCUAUUAAGUCCGCAUAACAUAAUUUUCUUGUAAUUUUUGAUCAAAUCUGACAUCAGAUUCGAGUUUAGCGACCAAAAAAACCCCCUACUACCAAAAACUAGUGACUUCCGAUGAGAUUUAGCCGAGAUAUGAAUUAUUCUCGCGCAACCGGCCCUCCUGGCCCACAGUGCAGGGGGGAGAAAGGUACAUCCUAUUCCCUCCCCCUCCCCCUCCCCCCAAAAAAUAAUCACGAAAAACGUUAAUUAAACGCGAAAAUUCCACUUUGUAAGACGAUUUUCAGGGCUUGUCCUUUCCACGCUUACACUAACAUAAUUUAACGAGGGGGGGGGGAGAAGGGUUUAUCCUCCCCCCUCCUCUUCCACCCCCUCCCCUCCCCCUCCCCUCAAAAAAUAAUCACGAAAAAAUUUAAAUAAAUGCGAAAAUUCCAUACUCUAAAGGCGAC
rnacentral:lncRNA from 1 species